AAAUAGAUGUCGUGGGUCGGAUCCUGAGCUGGCGUAAACGAAGAGAGUUCCACAGUCGGAAAUGGAAUCGAUGGGAUAGUGCCAGCUGCGGAUGGCUCCCUUUCUAGGAGACAAACCAUUCAGCAGGUCCCUCAGCAUCCUCUGCAGCUCAGCAGAGCGGAUCUCCCUAAGAGGCUUUCAGAUGCUUUAUCUUCCUGGGAAUCACAAUAAACCAGGCAUGUGUGAACCAAGCCCAGACUAUCAGGUGGAAGAAUCGAUGGCUUUUCCUUUGGCUGCUUGUGCAGGUACAGCUGAGACUUCUCAAUUCUCUGCAGAAGRAGGAGAGAAAUAACAGACUUCUUCACAGCACGGUGACUGCCUUCCUCCUUGGGCUGGGAGAAGAAUGCUGUGCAUGUCCUUGCUGUGCCCUCGUCCCGGACCGGAGGCAGUAAGGGGAGCGUGGGCUGCCGGGGUCGUUCCCAGGCCUGGGGAAUGCCCCGCUCCAGCUGCAGAGAGGCAGAUGACCCCUGACUCAGCUGAGCCUUUGCGAGCCACCCGAGAGCUCUGCUUCCUCCCAGCUACGUGUUUGCCAGCCUGAGGAGCUGGAUUGCAGGUGGUCCGUGAU
rnacentral:lncRNA from 1 species